rnacentral:sRNA from 1 species
UUUACCCCGCUGAAAUUUAAGCAUAUAAUUAAGCGGAGGAAAAGAAACUAACUAGGAUUCCCUCAGUAACGGCGAGUGAAGCGGGAUGAGCUCAGGAUGUAAAUCUGCGCUAUUAAAGCGCCGAAUUGUGGUCUGUAGACUUUGGUGUUAUCUGCCGGGCCAAGUUCCUUGGAAAAGGACAGCUGAGAGGGUGAGACUCCCGUCCGCCUGGUAGAGUGAGCCUUUGUCAAAGAGUCGAGUUGUUUGGGAUUGCAGCUCUAAUUUGGUGGUAAAUUCCAUCUAAAGCUAAAUAUUGGUGGGAGACCGAUAGCGUACAAGUACCGUGAGGGAAAGAUGCAAAGAACUUUGAAAAGAGAGUUAAAGAGUACCUGAAAUUGCUGAAACGGAAGCGAAGGAAACCAGUGUUUGUUUGUUCAUAUUUCCCUGACCACUUGUGGUUUGGGCGCUGUGGGCUUGCGUCGGUUUGCUUUGGUUAAUCCCUUUGGAAGAGCGCAGUCAGAGUUGAUGUCUGUUGCUAGCACUGGGUUUGACUGAGUAGACGAAA